GCAGCCACAGAGCUCUGUAACAACAGCUCCUUCCAUGUUCUUGCCUUAAUUUCUCCCUGUAAAUCUCCAUUCAAACUCACAUCUCACAGCUUGUCAUCAUCAGGAGUAAGAGUCCAGACUGUGGGGUGCUGAAGACCUUUGCAGUCGAGAAGAGUCCUGUACCAGUCAGUCAAGGCAGCAAAGCUGACAGCAUCAGCUUUCUGAUAUUAACAAUUGGGAAGGAAUCAGUCUUAGCAGAAUCCAAGUAAGAGACUACACAAUAGGAAGCCACACAAGUUCAACUCCCGUUUCCUUCAGUGAC
rnacentral:lncRNA from 1 species